CAACGGCACCAACGCAUUUGUACUUUUGUUUUCUCUCUCUCUCUCUUUUGCGCUUGGUCUCGACAGUUCGGCCAGGGAAAAAGAGAAGACUGUUAAUUCGAUUCGCGGCCAUCCACUAACUAAAAACCUCGCCAAAAACCUCCGAGCACCACCUUUCUUUUCGGUAGCGGUUUCCCGCCGAUUCUCCGCCAGAAGGGUGCGACCGGGGGGGGGGACAGUGGACAGGAGUGGCAUCGAAGUGGAGUUCCAAUAUGGACCUUGAAGACAUGGACGCGCCAAGCAAGGUUCCUUCCCGAGUCUCCAGAUUCGCCCCUAAAUCAUCAAAGCUUAAAUUAAAACCCAAAUUGGAACCACAAGAAUCUGCUCCCAAGACUGAAGCCCCAGAAUCAUUGUCUAAAGAAGAACCGCGAGAUUUUGAUUCAGUGACUGCCAAAACGAAAGAGGAAGAAUUCUCGGCUCCCAAUGGCGCCAUGAAAAUGGACGUGGACCCCAAGUCAGAGGCUGAAGAUGAACCAAAACAAGAUGAUCCUAUGGAUGAAGACAGCGCCGAAGAUACAAUUGUGCGCGAAAUCGACGUCUUCUUCACUCCUUCUAUUGCCGCCGACACUCAGUUAUAUGUUUUGCAAUAUCCUUUGAGACCUUGCUGGAGACCGUACGAAUUAGACGAUCGAUGUGAAGAGGUCAGGUUGAAGCCUGAUAGUUCAGAAGUAGAGGUUGAUUUAUCUAUUGACAUCGAGUCUAGUAAUCAUGACAAGGAGUUUGCUAGCAAACUCAAGAUGACGAAACAGACUUUAUCAACUUCGUGGAAGCCACCUUGUACCGAUGGAUAUGCUGUUGGGCUUCUUAUGGGUAAUAAGUUACACCUGCAUCCUAUCCAUGCAGUUGUGCAGCUAAGACCAUCAUUAGGACAUCUUAACUCUGGUGGUUCAAAAAGAAAGGCCAAUAUCUCUACUGGCAGUAAUGCCGCUAUUAAAAUUGAGAAUUCUGCUGAAGAAAAGUCUGUUGCUGCAUCAAAGAAGCAGAAUAAGCAGAUGGAAUCUUCAAUUGGGCAAAAAAGUGACGGUGAUGAGUACUGGGUUCCUCUCAAGUACCAUAGCUCCAAAAGUGAUAUCUCCUCUAGAUAUUUGCAGCAAAUGGCAACACUAGAAAGUUCUCCCAUAAAAUUUACAAUGAGCCCGUACGAUUAUGUUACUUCACUAUGUCCUGGAGUGAGCAACAGCAUGUUACCCAGGGGUCCUUCUAGAAGGUAUCUGCUAUCAUUACCUCCAGAAGAACGUCUUAAGAAAUUACUUGUCGAGGGCUCUUCACUACACCGUUUUAGUGCUGUUAAGCACUUUGCUCCUGAAUACUCUGAAGGUGAACUGCUGGAAUUCCUGCAGCAACACGCAUUACUAGUUCAAGGACUUUGGGCUCCAAAAGGUGCAUUGCUAUAUCCACAGGGUGGUGUGGAAAAUUUGGCCAGAGAUUAUGCACUGAUCCUGUUUAGUAGGAAUUUGAAAGUUCAGCUUUCCCAAUUGAAUAUUCGACCUGAACUUAGUAAACAUAUAAAAAACUUUCUGAAUAUAUUUGGUGAGGAAAGAAUUGAAAACUGGAAAUCUAGUGUGCAACCCAUUGUCUAUUGGAAGUUCAGAGAGCAGCCUGAUGAAUCAUUCAUCAAACGCCAUCCCCAUAUUGUUGCAAAGUGUAAAUUCACUUUGGAAGGCAUGGAAGAGCAGGUAUAUGGUGCUGUUUAUAAAGUUGGAAAAGGUGAACCUGGUAAAAAGGCUGUACCAAAGCUUGGCCAAAGCAGUAAGCCUGGACAGCUUGUGACUUCUGAUAAACGUGCAACUAGUGUGGGCAGAGUUGCUCCUGAGAGGAUGACCAUGUCAAGUGACACCCGACAAGCUCUGCCAAUUGCCCUUAAAAAACUCUUCCAAACUCAAGCAGUUUGCAGCUUUCAAACAAUAUGCAAAGAAUUGCGUGGAAUGGCGCUUUCUAAAUCUAUGCUUCCAAAGUCAGAUGCUAAAAUUGUUAGAGAUGCAGCACUUGGACUUGAUGCUCCACCAGAAGAACUGCAGGCCAUCAUAAGCGAAACUGCAUGCAAUAUCCAUGGUUUUUAUGUCCUGAAGUCAUCACAGGAUGAGCAUUUUAGGGAUGUUGUAAUUGAUAUGCUGCGUGGAAGUGGACCCAAUGCCAAGCUAAGGAGAGCUGAGGUACUUGAAGCUGCCAGAAGAAAACUCAAUAGGGAGGUGACUAACAGUGAGUAUAACAAGGUUGCCCCAUACAAACGUGCAGUGCCCUGAUAUAGAUCAGCUAUCAUCUUGAGAGCUAUGCCAGACUCACAUGACUUCUUAGUUCUUGCAUGGCAACCUCUUCCAAGUGUGCCUUUCAGAUACCUCAGAAUUUUGUACACCGCUUUAUGAUAUUUCUCUAUCAGAUUGGGAUGGCUGACCAUGCCUGCUGCGAAUGCAAUGUCCGCUCCAGUCUUGUGUGAUAAGAUAUACACAGCCCAUGCCCCAUGACUGCGCCUAGCGUCCCACUAGUCCAUCACUUCCUUUCCCUUAUAGAUACUGAGUGUGGUCAUGACCGAGUUAUGUGUCUCAAGGGGUUCUGUUUGGGUCUUGAAAACACACGAUCGAACUUUGUAAAAAUUGUAGGCCCUCCUGAUGAAGCAUAUUGAAAAAUAUUAUCGAGCUCUUGCGUGGACCUCCUGAUGAAGCAUAUUGAAAUAUAUUAUAUAGCUGCCCGGUGACGGAUCAUAUUCACCGAUUGACAGGAUAAAUUUGAUCAAGUGAUAUAUGGUCAUACUUUCUGCUUCAUCUGUUUGCUGCGUCGAGCGUGAUUUGAAGUUACGGUGAAGACAUUGAGCUCAAGCCUGCACUUCUUCUUAACUCAUUGUUCAUUGAUGUACUAACCUUUAGAAUGUUCAUAAACCUUGGUGUCAAUCAAUUAAAACAGCAGAACCUAGCAAUAUGUUAGUGGUAAUGGAUGGCCAACUAGCCAUUAUUUAUACCAUUGUUUUUCUUAAUUUCUGUAGUUGCUUAGUAAUACGAGAAAUGGAAAUAUUCGUUUAUUCAUAAUCAUGUAUCAUUUACUUGCGGCAUGCAA